CACCCUAGCUGUCACGGAAAGACGCAUUCGUCGUGCUAUAUACAGUUAACCGAAAGUCUGCGAAGUUUGUCCACUGCUUCAUUCACGCAACCAACCAACAGAUUGGGUCCCAUUGCUCUGCCCCUCCCCUUCCCCCUUAUUUUUCUUCUUCGUGGCAUGCGCUUGUGCAUCUUGGUUUUUAUCGUUUUACACGCAAAGAAGCGAUGCGCGUACUGCCUUAAACAGGGGCAUGCCAAAAUAGCCGUUGAGCGUUGGCGACCAGACGACUUUUUCGGCAAUGUUCGGGUUGUUAUUGUGACGCAGUGUGGGACGUGAGCGGCGCGGUCAAGGUUCGAUGCUGCGAAUAAGAGGCUGCAGCCGAUAGACGGACUGGAUGGACAUGUAUGUGCCAAAUUCAGCGCUAAGUUGACGGAGAAUGAGCCGACUAUACAGAGCCAAAACAAGCAGAUGACGGCGCCCGUGCUAAACGCCACGUCCUCAGUGAACAUGAAUGGUGGACGUGCGCCCCGUUUGCCGUCAGUCGGAGGCUGCCUGUUCGACGGUGACUCCCGGUGCACUUGUUUCAUCAUCGACGCAAGUGCCAACGCCGACAAUGUUUCCUGUCUGAAAGCCAGUGCCUGUCAACUCCAGGCGCACCUCGACACCCCCCCUCUCCUCGUCACGGCCGGGGUUUUCCCCCUGGGUGGCCCCUUGCGGGAUUAUGGCGCCGUUGAUAUAUGCUGCACCUCCCGCACGCAGGUGAGCGCAUUACUGUUGCUUGGCCACGUAAAGGAUUUCCAUUCCCCGUGCAUUCUUGGUUCAACCCACAGCGAACUGCCUCUGUGAUGCGCUAUUUCACAACCGACAGAAGCCAGGCCGACGUCGCAGCCGACAGAUGACCAUUUGUCGAAUUGUAGCUGUCAGCCACGGCGGCGGA